UAACUGCUCAAACAAAACACAUGCAGUUGGUUUGGACAAAGCCAGUGGAUGCUGUUUGAUGACUUGCUGGUUUGAAUUGGACGAUUAUUUCAGACUUUUAGUACCGAAAGUCAGUUUGCAGUUUAUUAAAGUCUAUAAUUAGGUUACAGUUUUCUGGUAUAUGAUGCUUGUGACUGACAAAAUGCACAUUGGAAUUAUUGGAAUCCUACUGGGCAUGUACUUGAAGGUUCAAGCAGACUGUGAGCCGUACAUCAUUCUUAUUCGAGAGGAGGAGAGGUGCCUUCAUGAGUUGCGGCUGCAUAAUGUGUCCAAAACUCCCCAACCAGGUAAAGUGUACCGGAACUGCACAGACACGGGCUGGACGGACCCAUUCCCUCC